ACUUAUGUCAUUCUGCCUAUAUGUAUAUAGUUAUAUUUACUACGUACAUAUUAUAUCCUUAAACAUUUUUAUUUUUUUUUUUUUUUUUUACCCUUUAAACCAGUCAAAAUGUCAAGAAGAACUAAAAAGGUCGGAUUAACAGGAAAGUACGGUACUAGGUACGGUUCCUCUCUUCGUAAACAAAUGAAAAAAAUCGAAUUAAUGCAACAUGCGAAAUACUUAUGUUCCUUUUGUGGAAAAGUAACUAAUUAAAAAAAAAAAUAAUAAAUAAACUUUAAUUGGCA
ensembl:lncRNA